rnacentral:lncRNA from 1 species
UUGUUUAUAAAAUAAUCUUUCUUAUUAAACUAAUUGAUAAUGGACUCUUUAUUAUAUGCAAGUGGCUUAGAACAUACCAAAUGUUUUAAUUGAUACAAAAUUUUAUUUUUUAUCACCACUUACUGAUAGUGAUGAUUAAAGUAACUUUCUUAAUCAUGCUUAAUUUAAUCAAAUAAUCGAUAAGUGAUUUUUUUCUAUAACAAUGAUAAUUGGAAUACUUAAAACAACUAUAUAAGUUCUAUACUACUAUCAUCUACGGGUUUUUGCUACAAGUGCAUUGUGUCACGAGACUACAUUUUCAAUUCAAAAGAUAUAUUUGAUAAGUGGAGAAAG